UACAGAGGAUGCAAGCGUUAUCCGGAAUUAUUGGGCGUAAAGAGCUCGUAGGCGGUUUGUCGCGUCUGCUGUGAAAUCCCGAGGCUCAACCUCGGGCCUGCAGUGGGUACGGGCAGACUGGAGUGCGGUAGGGGAGAAUGGAAUUCCUGGUGUAGCGGUGGAAUGCGCAGAUAUCAGGAGGAACACCGAUGGCGAAGGCAGUUCUCUGGGCCGUAACUGACGCUGAGGAGCGAAAGCGUGGGGAGCGAACAGG
rnacentral:rRNA from 1 species